CCUGGCGUCACAAACACCUUUCGCCGAAUGGCACCACCCACGACCAAUCGGAGGGCUCGGGCGAGUUGAGCCGAUAUGGCCAGGAGUGUGGCAGUGGGCGGAGAGCUGAGGAGGGGGAGAAGACCAAGAAGAAUGCUAUAGAGAGGCGCGAGGCGAGGGCGGUGCGAAGGAAAGGCGGAGAAAGCCGGUGGAAACCGGUUAGAGAAAGUCGGCGAACUAGCCGUGCCCGGCCAGGCUCGCAGACGGGGUGGGACAAGGCGAAGGCUCGCUCCUAUUGGCCGGCCACUGCUGCUAUUCCUUCGACUCGGGUCCUUCUGUUGCGCUUCUGAAAGGCAUCCGGAAUUCUUCCGCGAAUCGCAGGAAUCUACUUGUGGGUGGUUGCUUUGAGAUGGUUCCAGAAGCGGUAUGCGUGACAGCCUUUUGCAACACAGUGCAGCUACAAGCCCACCUGUAAAGUAGCAUCACUUCGGGAUAUAGAUGAUAGAUCUUUGUAGCAUUCCUAUUCUUCACGUCGAGUGUUGCGUAUUUGGAGUGAGGUUCCCCUCAAGCUCAAGAUUGACAGGUUUCUUUAGCACCAAGCGGCUAAAUCCAGUGGUUUUUAUGGCGGCAACUGCUGGGUAUGGGGUCGGCUUGUUACUCACGAAGUAGAACUUCGAGACAUUCCCAGAUUUUAUUGUGGAGCAGGCAACAAUUUUAUUUUUAACGUGUGCUUACAGUAAAAAAUGUCAAUAAAGGUUUUCUCUUAUGCAGGCUGAGGAUAAGAGUCCUUGAGGAAAUGCAUCAGGAAAAGGAGCAAGGCUGCACCAGUUAGUCAAGCUUCCACAAUACUCACCAUUCAAUUAAGACUAGCAAGCUGUUAGCAAGAAAAACAACUGCAUAUUCAAAAGUACUUCAAAUCCAUAUAUACAGGCUACGUCUGGAGAAGAAGAUGCAUUUACAAACCUUGACAGGACUGAAAUUUCAGAUCCAGCUCAUACAAUUCAGUGGCAGCAAACUGAAAUAAUGCUUCAGAUGUGUGACAGUAAAUGCAGAUGCUCUUAUAGAAAGCAUGUGAGGCAUAUAAUUUGGAGUGGCUCUUAUAUGAGCCUUGCAGUUCAGUUUUCAUCAGAGACUGACAAGAGAGCCUAAACUGGUUGGGAGUUAGUUUGUGUUUUUAUUUAGCUAAACAAAAGAUAUCAUAAGCUCCCUCCAGUGCAAAUAAAGCACAAGUCAGAAUUUCUAACCCAUAGUAAACAAGUUGCUGUUUAGGGAACUUGCCACAAAUUCUAUAAUGGAAAUUCAUGUGUUGAGAAUGCUAUUAUUUUCCUGUAAACCACAGAAUCUUUUUUUUUUAAAGACACUUAUGUUUUCUUGCACAACAGUAAUUUAUGGAAUGAAUGAAUCACCUACCUU